rnacentral:rRNA from 1 species
AUUGAACGCUGGCGGCAGGCUUAACACAUGCAAGUCGAGCGAGCGGCGGACGGGUGAGUAAUGUCGGGGAAACUGCCUGAGGGAGGGGGAUAACUACUGGAAACGGUAGCUAAUACCGCAUACCAUAAGUAGUGCCCAGAUGGGAUUAGAUAGUAGGUGGGGUAACGGCUCACCUAGGCGACGAUCCCUAGCUGUUCUGAGCGGAUGACCAGCCACCCGGGAACUGAGCCACGGUCCAGACUCCUACGUGAGGCAGCGUUGGGGAAUAUUGCCCAAUGGGCGCAAGCCUAGUGCAGCCAUGCCGCUGGUGUGAAGAAGGCCUUCGGGUUGUAAAGCACUUUCAGCGGGGAGGCGUUACCCGCAGAAGAAGCACCGGCUAACUCCGUGCCAGCAGCCGCGGUAAUAC